AUUGAACGCUGGCGGUAUGCUUAACACAUGCAAGUCGAACGGUAACAGCUUCUAGCUUGCUAGAAGGCUGACGAGUGGCGGACGGGUGAGUAACGCGUAGGAAUCUGUCUAAGAGACUGGGACAACACGGGGAAACUCGUGCUAAUACCAGAUACGCUCGAAAGAGGAAAGGUGGGAGUAAUCCUGUCGCUCAUAGGUGAGCGUGCGUUGGAUUAGCUAGUUGGUAGGGUAAAGGCCUACCAAGGCAACGAUCCAUAGCUGUUCUGAGAGGAAGAUCAGCCACACUGGGACUGAGACACGGCCCAGACUCCUACGGGAGGCAGCAGUGGGGAAUAUUGGACAAUGGGCGCAAGCCUGAUCCAGCAAUACCGCGUGUGUGAAGAAGGCCUGAGGGUUGUAAAGCACUUUCGGCAGGGAGGAAGUGUAUAUAGCUAAUACCUAUAUAUAUUGACGUUACCUGCAGAAGAAGCACCGGCUAACUCUGUGCCAGCAGCCGCCGUAACAC
rnacentral:rRNA from 1 species